UUGCCCUUUGCACGGUGGUUAUAACAGAAAUGAUAACAACGCCUUAAGACGUGGCACACCUAAACAAAGGGCAAUU
rnacentral:ncRNA from 12 species